rnacentral:lncRNA from 1 species
CCUCCUUCUCCUUAAAUAGUGGGUCAUAUUUAGCUCACAUAGAUACUAGGACACUGAUUUAAGGAUAUGUGACCUACAAAUGUACUUUAUCUGCUGUGCCUUGACUGCUCUAUAGGAAAACAGUAAGGUUUCUGUAUGGCCAAAUCCAUGGGGAAGGUUGUCAAAAAUCACCAAUAAUUUCAAAAGCAGGUUUUCCUACUCAAGACAUACUGUGAUGAAAACAAGAUGUUAUACUGUAGUGCUUUGGAUUGUCCAUAUUUUCAAGGGGGAGUCCUUUGACCUGGAUAUCUGAAUGACACAGUGAGUUAAAAUAGCACAUCUGCUCUAGAAUACCUAGAGGCCCCAGGACUUGCAUCUAGAUGUGAUAUAAGAUGGUCUGUGUAUCAGACAGGGCAAACUGCAGAGGUAUCUUCUAAUCUUACAGGAGGAGAACCAGAGCUGAUGGUCCAAAGAUCCAUGGUUUUGUGACACCAUGGAGCAUGAAUUGCAGUUGAACCACUGGAUGUGUGCACUGGAAAUGUUGCCUUAAUGUAUUAUUGAAAUUCAUGUGAACCUAGAAGAUAUGUUGGUUUUUUUGGUUGUGUUUUUUUUUAAAAAAAGAUGAACUAAAAAGAAGAACUGAAGAAGGUUGGGACUUCAGAGGAGUUCUAAUAACCAAGACCUAGAGACUAUGGGGUGCCAGUGCUCAGAUGAACUUGCAAGUGCCUACAGCAAAAAGAAGAACUUUGUUCUGGAAGUCACAUGCCUUCGAGGGAGAUGCUGACUCCAACACUCAGGCUCUGAGGACAUUUGCACCUUGAAUGCAACAAACAUUUCGAACGAGAAGGUGGGGUGGAAAAGUCCCAGAGACCACAUUUCCUUUUUUUUUUGCUUGGGACUAAAUGACAUUGUAUGUCCUGUGUUCAAGGUAUUUUAAUUCUUGAUCUCCAGCCAUUCUUUACAACAUAUAGCAGUAGCUAUGUAUUUUAGAUAAAUUUGAAUGUUUCCUGAUAUCAGGUGGAAAUACCUGAGUUGACUGUUACUCCUGUGAAUAAGCAUAUUUGCUCAUACUAUACAAUGGAAUAAUGGUUUCUUAUUCAAAUAUCUUGCUAUUGAGUUAAGAGAACACAAAUUUCAAAAAUUUCAGUCUCUUAUUCUCAUUUUCACUCUCUUGUGUUUUUAGGGAAGAAUUUAUUGCAAAAUGAUAUUUCAUAUAAACCUUCUAAUACACUUGGC